AGCGAACGCUGGCGGCAGGCUUAACACAUGCAAGUCGAGCGGGCAUCCUUGUGGUGUCAGCGGCAGACGGGUGAGUAACGCGUGGGAACGCGCCCUUCGGUUCGGAAUAACUCAGGGAAACUUGAGCUAAUACCGGAUACGUGCGAGAGCAGAAAGGUUUAUCUGCCGAAGGAUCGGCCCGCGUCUGAUUAGCUAGUUGGUGAGGUUAUGGCUCACCAAGGCGACGAUCAGUAGCUGGUCUGAGAGGAUGAUCAGCCACACUGGGACUGAGACACGGCCCAGACUCCUACGGGAGGCAGCAGUGGGGAAUAUUGGACAAUGGGGGCAACCCUGAUCCAGCCAUGCCGCGUGAGUGAUGACGGCCUUAGGGUUGUAAAGCUCUUUUCUCCGGGACGAUAAUGACGGUACCGGAGGAAUAAGCCCCGGCUAACUUCGUG
rnacentral:rRNA from 1 species